AUCUACGGCCAUGCUACCCUGAACAAGCCCGAUCCCAUCUGAUCUCGGAAGCUAAGCAGGGUUGGGCCUGGUUAGUACUUGGAUGGGAGACCACCUAGGAAGACCAGGUGCUGUAGGCA
rnacentral:rRNA from 1 species